CCUUUGUGAACCGUCAGCGCCAUGUAAUUAAAUACAAAAACAUCUGUCUGGUGUACAAAAUUCUGCAUUACACUGCUCCUACUCCUUUGAACUCUUUCAUAACACAACGUAACAACAGCAGUCAGAUCACCAGAAGCACCGCACGAGGUAACCUUCUAAUUCCAUUCAGGAAAAGUACAUUUGGCCAAUUAUCAUUUUCUGUUACGCCAUUACAAAACUGGAAUUCAUUGCCCACUACAAUCAAAGAUAUACAUACAUAUUCCAC